GUAAUAGUUGGAGUACUCGAAUUUAGUUUUCGAAAACUGUGGUGUGCCCUUCGACAAAGGCAAGGAAAUUACGCUUGGGGAUCACUAAGCUGAGUACACCCGAAAUCUGAACUUUUGAAACCUUUUGUUGAUAGUUGAUUAAGACGAGAAUUAAUCU